UACGUAGGGGGCAAGCGUUGUCCGGAAUCAUUGGGCGUAAAGAGCUCGUAGGCGGCUUGUCACGUCGGGUGUGAAAGCCCGGGGCUUAACCCCGGGUCUGCAUUCGAUACGGGCUAGCUAGAGUGUGGUAGGGGAGAUCGGAAUUCCUGGUGUAGCGGUGAAAUGCGCAGAUAUCAGGAGGAACACCGGUGGCGAAGGCGGAUCUCUGGGCCGAUACUGACGC
rnacentral:rRNA from 1 species